GACGAGGGGUGCUAGCGUUGCUCGGAAUUACUGGGCGUAAAGCGUAUGUAGGUGGCCUUGCAAGUCAGAUGUGAAAGCCCUGGGCUUAACCCAGGAAGUGCAUUUGAAACUGCAGGGCUUGAGUGUCGGAGAGGGUAGUGGAAUUCCUGGUGUAGAGGUGAAAUUCGUAGAUAUCAGGAGGAACAUCGGAGGCGAAGGCGGCUACCUGGCCGAACACUGACACUGAGAUACGAAAGCGUGGGGAGCACACAGG
rnacentral:rRNA from 1 species